rnacentral:rRNA from 1 species
CNUGCAGUCGAGCGGUAGAGAGGUGCUUGCACCUCUUGAGAGCGGCGGACGGGUGAGUAAUGCCUAGGAAUCUGCCUGGUAGUGGGGGAUAACGCUCGGAAACGGACGCUAAUACCGCAUACGUCCUACGGGAGAAAGCAGGGGACCUUCGGGCCUUGCGCUAUCAGAUGAGCCUAGGUCGGAUUAGCUAGUUGGUGGGGUAAUGGCUCACCAAGGCGACGAUCCGUAACUGGUCUGAGAGGAUGAUCAGUCACACUGGAACUGAGACACGGUCCAGACUCCUACGGGAGGCAGCAGUGGGGAAUAUUGGACAAUGGGCGAAAGCCUGAUCCAGCCAUGCCGCGUGUGUGAAGAAGGUCUUCGGAUUGUAAAGCACUUUAAGUUGGGAGGAAGGGCAUUAACCUAAUACGUUAGUGUUUUGACGUUACCGACAGAAUAAGCACCGGCUAACUCUGUGCCAGCAGCCGCGGUAAUACAGAGGGUGCAAGCGUUAAUCGGAAUUACUGGGCGUAAAGCGCGCGUAGGUGGUUCGUUAAGUUGGAUGUGAAAUCCCCGGGCUCAACCUGGGAACUGCAUUCAAAACUGUCGAGCUAGAGUAUGGUAGAGGGUGGUGGAAUUUCCUGUGUAGCGGUGAAAUGCGUAGAUAUAGGAAGGAACACCAGUGGCGAAGGCGACCACCUGGACUGAUACUGACACUGAGGUGCGAAAGCGUGGGGAGCAAACAGGAUUAGAUACCCUGGUAGUCCACGCCGUAANCGAUGUCAACUAGCCGUUGGGAGCCUUGAGCUCUUAGUGGCGCAGCUAACGCAUUAAGUUGACCGCNNGGGGAGUACGGCCGCAAGGUUAAAACUCAAAUGAAUUGACGGGGGCCCGCACAAGCGGUGGAGCAUNNGNUUUAAUUCGAAGCAAC